rnacentral:misc_RNA from 1 species
UUGCCCCAAGAAUGUCUGGAGUUUGGCGAAAAGCGGAUUGUCGCGAUCGAACACAUAUUCCAGCGAUGCGAUCGACACCGUCUCGGCGCCAUAGUCGCGCAGGAAGCUGCUGAGCGCGUAGAGCUGCGUCGGCGGACAGUGCAGCGUCACCAUGCCCGAUGAGGUCGGCCCGCCGAACGGCGACACCACGCCGAACCGGCUGUGGGCCUCGGCGAGCAGGGC